rnacentral:tRNA from 1 species
GAGCCAUUAGCUCAGUUGGAAGAGCAUCUGACUUUUUAAUCAGAAGGGUCGAAGGUUCGAAUCCUUCUGGGCUCA